UUGAGAAACUGAGAGCCUUUCCUAAGAUCAUCCAGGUGCAGAAUCACAUAGCUUCCUGUCCUCUUCUAAUCUAGAUCGUAUUCUUUUUGAAUAGGGGUAAAUGAGAGGAAUGGAAGCAUUGUAUGCAGAGAACUGAUAUGUGUGUCUGAAAAUGUGGAAAGAACAAGUAUCAGCUGAGUCCAGCUUACAAAAUCUUUGUAAGAGAACAUGAAAGAAGAACAAGUCUCAUUUUGAUACAUUUUAUGUUUGACCAGAAGGGCUCCGCAGUUCAAUUGCUUAGUUUCCAGAACUAAAAACCCUGGAUGUUAUGUAUAAAAUAAACUCGAGAAGACUUUGAAGGAUGGAAAAAAAGGAUGCAGAACUAUUGGAACCUUACAACGAGAGGAACAGCAUAAUGAUUUCAACUGACAAGUUUUCUGCAAGAAAGAUGCUUCUCUGGUAUCUGCUGAGAUCAUUUGAAAUCAUGGUAGAACGCCCAGAAUUAUGGGCUCUUCUUGAAAUUGGAUAUCAUCAAACGAGGCACUAAUUACAGAACAAUUAACAAAAGCCUAAAAGGGUGUAAUGGAGAAUUUCUAAUGAAUCCUGACUUAUCAUGGCUGAAAGAAGACUUGAAGUUGGAUUAAUGUAGAAACACUGGAAUUCUACUGAAGGAGCUGGUGCUUGAUUUGAUAGAAAAAAAGAAUUAUUACACUGUUCUAUUCCCUUUUUCAGUUUGUAAAACUCCUCAGACAAUUGUUUUCUAAGAAAGGAUUAAACUCCUAUAUGAAAUGGAUUUUGAUUUUAAAUGAUGACACAUUCUCUUUCUCAGUCCCAUAUAUAUGUGUACAGAUAUCAUAUAUACACACACAUAAUCAUAUAUAUCAUGUAUACAUAUGUGUGCAUAUAUAUAUACAUAUGUAUGCAUAUUCAAAGUAUUUUUCUAUACCUGACUUUAACUUUGUUUUCUUUCAGUAAUUUUCACCUUGAUUAUGAUAAUAUCCAUAUAAAUUUCAUUACAAGGUUACUCGUUUAUAAUUCAGUGAAGUUUUUACUUCAUCCCUAAAAUGUAUUCAUUAUUAAACUUGGCAGGAAAUAAAGGCUAAUGCAAGUGCUCAUGUAUGUACCUGCAGGCACACACACACAUACAUGCACACACAAAUGUCCCACUGUCCACAAAGUAAAAUAAAGUACUUUGGAUUACCCCUAGCAAAAUAUGAGAAUAGCAAGAUAAGACAAAGUAAUAAAUAUAAAGCAAAACUAACAAUUCCCAUUUUCUAAUUUGAAAAUAGAAACUUUCCUACUAAAGUAAAAAGCGUUUAGGAUAAACUUACAUGAACUUGGCAUUUCACUUCAAGAUAAGUGCCAGUGAACUAUCUGGUGGGUAUGAAGUGUCUCUGCGUUAAAAAGUUAGAAGUGACUUCAACACUCAAUCCACUCACCCCCCUUUUUUUUUUACUACAUAAGAAAAUUAACACAAAAAUGCAAUUAUGGAAGAACAAAAAGAAAAUUAACUUUAGAUUUGAAUAUAGACCUGGGUUGGAAUUUUAAUUCCAAUUAAUGUUACUCAAUCAUGCCUCAGAUUCAUCUGUAAAAGCAGCAAUAACACCUAUUGUGCAGGGUAGUUAAAACAAUGAUAUGUGAAUAUCAAAUGAGGCCAUACAUGGGAUAUUCCUGGUCCAAAUGAGCAGUUUUGGAAGUUACUUUCUCCAUAUAAACUCUGAGAUGGGCACAGAUAAUAGAGAAAAAUUAUAGAAGAAAAGGUCGACCUAUCAAUUAAUGUUUGACCUUACUUCUGUAAUUCCAAAUUCCAACUCUGUUGGUCCCGGUAAUAAGACUAAGUACAUUUUUCCCCAUGUAUAUAGAUCUCUAGCUCUAGUUGCUCCAUGCAUUUCCAGUUUUCUAGCUAGAAAGGAAAGGAGGAAGAAGGAAAGAGGGAGGGAAGGAAUGAAUAUCUCUUCAUUUCCUGUGAGUAGUUGCCACUACACUUGAAGAAAUGGGAAAUCAACAAAAGAAUAAAAUAUAAAUAUUGCUGAUCCAAGCAUCUGCAGCCCAUUACCAGCCUCUGCCAUGGCAAAAUCUAUUCUUUUUCUACUUGAGCUCUCUCACUCCAGCUUUUGUUAUCUCCCACAUUCAGUCUGUUUCUCAUCCUCUUCUGGAUAAUUACAGUAAAAACAAAAUUAUCACCCAGCAAAGGAUGUGUCAAUAUGUGUGCAAAGUUGAUCAUGGAAAAUAAAUAAGACAUAAAAUAAAAAUAAAAAUAAAAAAUACAUCCCA
rnacentral:lncRNA from 10 species